rnacentral:rRNA from 1 species
AUGAACGCUGGCGGCGUGCUUAACACAUGCAAGUCGAACGAUGAAGCCCAGCUUGCUGGGUGGAUUAGUGGCGAACGGGUGAGUAACACGUGAGUAACCUGCCCUUAACUCUGGGAUAAGCCUGGGAAACUGGGUCUAAUACCGGAUAGGAGCGUCCACCGCAUGGUGGGUGUUGGAAAGAUUUAUCGGUUUUGGAUGGACUCGCGGCCUAUCAGCUUGUUGGUGAGGUAAUGGCUCUCCAAGGCGACGACGGGUAGCCGGCCUGAGAGGGUGACCGGCCACACUGGGACUGAGACACGGCCCAGACUCCUACGGGAGGCAGCAGUGGGGAAUAUUGCACAAUGGGCGCAAGCCUGAUGCAGCGACGCCGCGUGAGGGAUGACGGCCUUCGGGUUGUAAACCUCUUUCAGUAGGGAAGAAGCGAAAGUGACGGUACCUGCAGAAGAAGCACCGGCUAACUACGUG